GUCGCUGCGAGGCGGGGUCUGAAGGAAGCCCAAUCCAAAGCUGCAGGGCGAUGAACGAAAGCCGGAUAUCAGGCGUGAUGUACUCGGGAUGUCAGCAACGGAAGUAAAUUGAU
rfam:Candidatus Accumulibacter phosphatis clade IIA str. TW-1, complete genome.